rnacentral:rRNA from 1 species
UGAGCAAUCUAGGCCCUUCUCAUCGGAAUAAGCGUUGGAAACGACGUCUAAUGCCGAAUACGACCUCCUUUCACAUGAUCGGAGGUGGAAAGCUCCGGCGGAGAAGGAUGAGCUCGCGGCCUAUCAGCUAGUUGGUGAGGUAACGGCUCACCAAGGCUUCGACGGGUAGCCGGCCUGAGAGGGUGACCGGCCACACUGGGACUGAGACACGGCCCAGACUCCGUACGGGAGCA